rnacentral:sRNA from 12 species
UGCCCUCGGACAGCGGCUCGAUGCCCUUCUGCGCCAUCCUGGUCUUUUG